CCCACUGCCUCCCUCCCUCCUGGCAGGAGCAGGGGCCUGCCUUCAUCUCCAAGGCCCGAGGGCUCCGGCAUCCCGACGCGGCUUCCGGCGACACGGGCAAAGAGAGACAGAGGCGAGUCCGAGCUGGAGCCAGCGUGUCCACAUGUGGCACUGUCGUCCCCCAAGAGCACAUGCAGGCAGCGUGUGUCUUUGAGGCCGUAGGGGGCGACGACGAGACGGACAGUGAUGUCCAGGCGUGCGCCCGGGGGGCCACUGGAGACCUGCCCCACAAAGCGGAGGAAAAGCCAAGCGCACCUGAAAACCUGCGAGACAGGGCCUGUGCGCGAGUCCACGCCACGUUCAGGGAGGCCCGCCAGAGGAGCCGAGACGUUUGGACAAAGUACACCCCACCCCCAGCCCGCCGCCGGCUAGGUACCCCUGACGCAAACUCCCCUGCACCCAGCCAAAACCCAGUCCCGUUGGCUCCCUGACAUCCGUGGCAGCCAAAAGAUUCGGUGCUAGAAGGCACUUUCCCCAGGAGCGG
rnacentral:lncRNA from 1 species